rnacentral:lncRNA from 1 species
GGCCAUUCUUAUAGAUGUCUCUUGUCUCUUUGAGAAUUAAUAUCCAACAAUCCUGUCCCAUCUGCAAACAGGUGAAAUGAUGAUUUUCUCAUUGUCAAUCCUUAUAUUAAUCUUGGAGGUCCUGUUUCAUUACGUCUUUAUGGGAAGAAGGAAGCUGAGCUUGUAGCAGUGAGUUUCUUUAUUCUCCAGCUGCUUUCUGAUAUCAUGAAGGUAACCAGGAGGGAAGUCUGUAUGAAAUGCUCCUUUCCAAUGGCAGAUUCCCCUGUCUGCACCAUUCCCUGGACAGAACCACUUGGACAAUCAAACCAAGAGCAAGGAUCCUGCAAACAGCACUGCUUUCUCACCAUCUCCUCAUGA